CUGCGUGAGCGGACGAAAACAACAACACCUAAAAUGUGGAAUAUAGCAUAUAGUCGACAAGAGAAAUCUACGAAAAAACAAACAAAACUUUCAACAACGGAUCUCUUGGUUCUCGCAUCGAUGAAGAGCGCAGCGAAAUGCGAUACCUAGUGUGAAUUGCAGCCAUCGUGAAUCAUCGAGUUCUUGAACGCACAUUGCGCCCCUCGGCAUUCCGGGGGGCAUGCCUGUUUGAGCGUCGUUUCCAUCUUGCGCGUGCGCAGAGUUGGGGGAGCGGAGCGGACGACGUGUAAAGAGCGUCGGAGCUGCGACUCGCCUGAAAGGGAGCGAAGCUGGCCGAGCGAACUAGACUUUUUUUCAGGGACGCUUGGCGGCCGAGAGCGAGUGUUGCGAGACAACAAAAAGCUCGACCUCAAAUCAGGUAGGAAUACCCGCUGAACUUAAGCAUAUCAAUAAGCGGAGGAAAAGAAACCAACAGGGAUUGCCUCAGUAGCGGCGAGUGAAGCGGCAAGAGCUCAGAUUUGAAAUCGUGCUUUGCGGCACGAGUUGUAGAUUGCAGGUUGGAGUCUGUGUGGAAGGCGGUGUCCAAGUCCCUUGGAACAGGGCGCCCAGGAGGGUGAGAGCCCCGUGGGAUGCCGGCGGAAGCAGUGAGGCCCUUCUGACGAGUCGAGUUGUUUGGGAAUGCAGCUCCAAGCGGGUGGUAAAUUCCAUCUAAGGCUAAAUACUGGCGAGAGACCGAUAGCGAACAAGUACUGUGAAGGAAAGAUGAAAAGCACUUUGAAAAGAGAGUGAAACAGCACGUGAAAUUGUUGAAAGGGAAGGGUAUUGCGCCCGACAUGGGGAUUGCGCACCGCUGCCUCUCGUGGGCGGCGCUCUGGGCUUUCCCUGGGCCAGCAUCGGUUCUUGCUGCAGGAGAAGGGGUUCUGGAACGUGGCUCUUCGGAGUGUUAUAGCCAGGGCCAGAUGCUGCGUGCGGGGACCGAGGACUGCGGCC
rnacentral:rRNA from 1 species